UGCCAGCCGCCGCGGUAACACGGAGGGUGCAAGCGUUGUUCGGAAUUAUUGGGCGUAAAGCGCGUGUAGGCGGUUCGUUAAGUCUGAUGUGAAAGCCCGGGGCUCAACCCUGGGAACGCGAGGGAAACUGGUAAGCUGGAAUCUUGGAGGGGGUACUGGAAUUCCUAGUGUAGGGGUGAAAUCUGUUGAUAUUAGGAAGAACACCGGAGGCGAAGGCGAGUACCUGGCCAAAGAUUGACGCUGAUGAGCGAAAGCGUAGGGAGCGAACAGGAUUAGAUA
rnacentral:rRNA from 1 species